rnacentral:rRNA from 1 species
GCAAUCGGGAGCUUUACCAUGCAGUCGAACGGCAGCGCGAGAGAGCUUGCUCUCUUGGCGGCGAGUGGCGGACGGGUGAGUAAUAUAUCGGAACGUGCCCAGUAGCGGGGGAUAACUACUCGAAAGAGUGGCUAAUACCGCAUACGCCCUACGGGGGAAAGGGGGGGAUCGCAAGACCUCUCACUAUUGGAGCGGCCGAUAUCGGAUUAGCUAGUUGGUGGGGUAAAGGCUCACCAAGGCAACGAUCCGUAGCUGGUUUGAGAGGACGACCAGCCACACUGGGACUGAGACACGGCCCAGACUCCUACGGGAGGCAGCAGUGGGGAAUUUUGGACAAUGGGGGAAACCCUGAUCCAGCCAUCCCGCGUGUAUGAUGAAGGCCUUCGGGUUGUAAAGUACUUUUGGCAGAGAAGAAAAGGUAUCCCCUAAUACGGGAUACUGCUGACGGUAUCUGCAGAAUAAGCACCGGCUAACUACGUGCCAGCAGCCGCGGUAAUACGUAGGGUGCAAGCGUUAAUCGGAAUUACUGGGCGUAAAGCGUGUGUAGGCGGUUCGGAAAGAAAGAUGUGAAAUCCCAGGGCUCAACCUUGGAACUGCAUUUUUAACUGCCGAGCUAGAGUAUGUCAGAGGGGGGUAGAAUUCCACGUGUAGCAGUGAAAUGCGUAGAUAUGUGGAGGAAUACCGAUGGCGAAGGCAGCCCCCUGGGAUAAUACUGACGCUCAGACACGAAAGCGUGGGGAGCAAACAGGAUUAGAUACCCUGGUAGUCCACGCCCUAAACGAUGUCAACUAGCUGUUGGGGCCGUUAGGCCUUAGUAGCGCAGCUAACGCGUGAAGUUGACCGCCUGGGGAGUACGGUCGCAAGAUUAAAACUCAAAGGAAUUGACGGGGACCCGCACAAGCGGUGGAUGGAUGUGAUUAAUUCGAUGCAACGCGAAAAACCUUACCUACCCUUGACAUGUCUGGAAAGCCGAAGAGAUUUGGCCGUGCUCGCAAGAGACCGGAACACAGGUGCCUGCAUGCUGUCGUCAGCUCGUGUCGUGAAGAUGGUUGGGUUAAGUCCCGCAACGAGCGCAACCCUUGUCA